AUGGCAAAAGACUUGAAAUGCACCACGAGGAACUUAAUAGAGAAAUCAAGACAUGACAUUGGAUUGAAUGUUCACCAGGUUCCAGAGCUGGCACAGAUCCCUUCCCAGAGGUCUCCGGGAUGUAUCGUUAACAGCAUUCAAGGGGGACCUUGGGGCGUAAACACUGCUGAUUGUGAUGCAGCUGCAAAGAGUGAGUGAGACACAUGCGCAGAGCCCUGGAUGGGAGCAUGUCAGCAGCUCAGGUCCCAUCACCAAGGGGCCUGGCUUAAUGUCACAUUUUCUUCAAUCUCCAUAGCCCAUAGACUUGAUUGGCUCUUGACAUUAUACUUCCUUCUGUUUUGAUAUUAAACCUACCACACUUGAUGUGGGUCAGGGCUUUUGUUCUUGACGUUGUAUUUUCCACAUUUCCAAACUCUCCUGAUCUAGAACACAAAGGCAGUUAAUAGUAACAAAUGCCAGACUAGCUAACAGAGAUGAGCCCAUUAGAUGUUACUCAGAGCCUCAUAUCUGAAGUAUCGGCCAUGUUAUUUAGUUUGAUCAUCGCUGAGAUCAAGUGCUUGACACAAACUUUCUGGGGGAGGAGAGGUUUAUUUUGCUUAGC
rnacentral:lncRNA from 1 species